AAGUCGUAACAAGGUUUCCGUAGGUGAACCUGCGGAAGGAUCAUUAGUGAAUUGCUCUUUGAGCGUUAAACUAUAUCCAUCUACACCUGUGAACUGUUGAUUGACUUCGGUCAAUUACUUUUACAAACAUUGUGUAAUGAACGUCAUGUUAUUAUAACAAAAAUAACUUUCAACAACGGAUCUCUUGGCUCUC
rnacentral:misc_RNA from 1 species